UACAGAGGUCUCAAGCGUUGUUCGGAAUCACUGGGCGUAAAGGGUGCGUAGGCGGCGGGGAAAGUCAGAUGUGAAAUCCGGAGGCUCAACCUCCGAAUUGCAUCCGAUACUCCCUCGCUAGAGAUUUGUAGAGGAGCUUGGAAUUCUCGGUGUAGCAGUGAAAUGCGUAGAUAUCGAGAAGAACGCUCGCAGCGAAGGCGAAGCUCUGGGCAAAUUCUGACGCUGAUGCACGAAGGCUAGGGGAGCAAACGGGG
rnacentral:rRNA from 1 species